CGGAUUGCAGUCUGCAACUCGACUGCAUGAAGCUGGAAUCGCUAGUAAUCGCGAAUCAGAAUGUCGCGGGGAAUACGUUCCCGGGCCUUGUACACACCGCCCGUCACACCAUGGGAGUUGGAAGCACCCGAAGUCGGUGACCUGACCGAAAGGGAGGAGCCGCCGAAGGUGAAGCCAGCGACUGGGGUGAAGUCGUAACAAGGUAGC
rnacentral:rRNA from 1 species